GAUGGGACACUUGUGGUUCUUUAGAGCUACAAGAUGCUUAUUUCCAACCAUUCCUGCUUUAAAUGUUUAUAAUCAAUACUGUGGGUAAGGCUGUUGUCCUUUACCUCAAUCUGAUUGUUAUAGUAAUGACACAUUAAUUUUCUUCCCCCUUCUUGAAUUUUCUCUUAAACACCACAGGGAUUGCCUAAACAAGGACUGUCCAACAACUGUGUAAUGUUUGUAGUGAUGUAUGCACUACUUUGUGAUGGGAGCAUCAUUUGAUUUCAGCGAGAAUGAUAUGAUGACAAUACGAAGAUGGUGGUCUCUCACUCUCUGGAGAAACUUCCCUGUGAAUCAUGAUCAAAAGUGAAGGUAGAAAGUGUGUGUGAGCU